UACCUAAUUAAAAAAAAACUUUAAAAAUUAAAAAAAAAAAGGAAUGUGUGCUGGCUGGGUGGGUGAGUGAUGCUGGGUGGUUGGUGGUGGUCCACACCUCUAAUCCCAGCUUCCGGUAGAGGUGGGCAGAUCUCUGAGUUCCAGGCCAGACUGGUCUAUAGAGCCAGCUGCAGAACAACCAGGACUACACAGAGAAACACUGUCUCAAAAAACAACAACAAAAUGUAUGUCUAGCCUCUUUGCCAACUCUGUUACUCUUUAACUGUUUUGAUAAACUGAGUCAUAGAAGAAGCUGUGAAAUUCUAUAAUGCUACACUAUGAAAGGACCAGGAAAGCUGCCAGUCUGCCUGUGGACUAGUCUUAUUUAUGAUUGAAAGCUUCAUUUUUAUACUAUAGAAAAGCUUCAUUUUAGGAUUUUUUUUUUAAGGCUAAACUUAUCAAGAUAAAUCUACUUAUUGUAAACUGUUAAAGAUGAUUGAGAUAGGCAAUUUAAUAAUCGGUCACCUCAUAAAAGAUCAGAUUCUUUAAUGUACUCUAGACUGCACUUGUGUUCGUGAUAAGUACUUGUCUUAGGUUCCCAUUGCUGUGAAGACACACCAUGAACAAAGCAACUCUUACAAAGGACAUUUGAUUGGGGUGGCUUGCAGGUCCAUAGGUUCAGUCCUUUAUUAUCAAGCGGGGAGCAUAGCAGUAUCCAGGCAGGGAUGGUGCUGGAGGAGCCAAGAGUUCUACUUCUUGAUCCAAAGGCUGACAGAAGGCUGGCUCCUACAUGGCUAGGAGGAGGGCCUCACAGUGACACACCUACUCCAACAAGGCCAUACCUCCCCAUCUGGGCCAUUCCUUGGACCAAGCACUAAUGCAAUUAAUUACAGGGAAAAACUUUCUUUACCCCCUCCUAUAUGUGUUUUUAAGGUUAAGCCUAAAACAAGUAACUAAGAAAGAAGCAAAGUUUGUUCAGCUCAGCUAUCCUUAAUAAUUACGGUCCUCAAACUCAUCAGAGACCUGCUCAAGUGGCAUUUUAUGUGCUUAAUGGAAAAAAGCCUGCUGUGGCAGAGACUCCAGCUCCUAGCACUCACCCUAAGGUCUCUAAAGAAGAUUAGAAGGGGCACCAACGACUCCACCUGAAUUGUGGUAAUGCUAACCACUGGGCAUAACUGCCCCAAUGCCUCAUCCGCUGCCAGGACCCUGCCUAAACCGUGGACAAGCAGGACACUGGAGAGUUGAUUGCCCUACUUUGCCGAGACAAAGCGAGGUCAAUUUCUCAAGGUCCUCCUCCACAGGAAGAAGGCCUCUCUGAUUUGCCAGGCCUGGCAGCUGAAGAUCGACGCAGCCCUGCGACGUGUGCCCCCAACGAAGCCACGGACACCACAGGAGCCUGGUGGGUUGGCAGCUAGGUAAUAGCUAACUAAGUCUCUGUUUUAAUUGAUAUACAGGCCAUUUGGAUUAUAUUUUCUUUUGUAAGUUUAUCCUUUUAUAGUUCAUCCUUCUCAGAUCUCUGAUGACAUUGACGGCUGUCAGUUUCCGCAGCAGCAGCAGGCAGCUCCUCCACCUAAGGCUUUGGCAUCCUCAUUCCUUUUCCUAUGUAAAAAACCAAGCCUUGCUAACUCUAGAGUUACCAGGUCUCUUGUUAAGAAGCGGCAGACAGGUUUGCCUUGCUAACGGGCUAAAAAUUAAAAAAGAAACAGGUUUCAGAUGUAGCUUUUUACCGUCCCUUUAUUUAAACUUGCUUUGCAAUCACUGUUCUCAGUAGCAACUGCUCAUGUCUCUGACAGAUGCUUGGAUGGAGGAAAAAAAAAGGCUCAAAGUCUGUAAGUUCUGCGUGUUCAGAGGUGUAGAAGCGUCUGAGGAUGUGGGGCCUGGAGUCAUUGAAGGUGAUUAACGCGAGUCAUAGGAAGGGUUUUAAGGUAGCUGAGGAAGUGGGGAAUCUCAGGUCUCCUUCCCCAGCUGUGUUCUUGCUACGCUAAGAUUUCAGACGUUCAGAACUUUAGUAUUUAUCAGUGGAGUUGUGACAAGCUGGUGUGGCGCUGGCUGCUCACUAUUCAAUCACAAGCUGAAGAUUUUAAAUUUCCUUUAGUUGUCUUUUGUGUAGAAACUUAACGGUACUUUUCAUCAUGCUAAAGGCAUCUGUGUCCAAUCUCUACAUCCAUCCCUCUGGACCGAGACACGAAUGUUAAUGCUUUUUAACCCAAAGCCAUAGCUUUUGCUAGGACUCAGGCGUGAGUCCACUCCAGGUGUUUAACAGACGCCUGUUAGCUGGCUUUUCUAUGAUGUGGACUUUUUUUGUACAGAUUAAUGCUAAUAGAUCUAAAACUUGUAUCUUUUUGUAAACUAAGAAAAUUCAUGUAAGGGACUGGAGAGAUGGCUCAGAGGUUAGGAGCACUGGCUGCUCUUCCCAAGGACCAGGGUUUAAUUCCCAGCACCCACAUGACAGCUCAUAACUGUCUGUAACUCCAGUCCCAAGGGACCGGAUGAUGUCUUCUGGUCUCCUUGUGCAUAUGUGAGCUGCACAGACACACAGGCAGGGGACACCUACAUAUGUAAAAAUUAAACAUUGAAAAGAUAAAUUCACGUGAGCUUCCGAGCAUUGAAGGAGUCAUUAAGACUUGGACCCACCUCUCACAGGUCACAGGGGCUCCAGAUAAGUCCUGCCUAAGCCUGUCUAUCUGCCUGUCCUUGAGGCUGGGAUCUCUUACCUGGUCUUGGGACUCCGCCCCUCCUCUAGUUUCCAGGACUGUGGGCCUGAAAGUGCCAAAUGUAAGAUUUUCCUUUAAGGUCCUAAACUUUAACUUCUGUCCCGAGUCUCUCUCUGUCUCAGCAGAUGUCCACUUGGCUGACAGACGCCCUCCAGGAAUCAACUGCGGACUACCAACUGCUCCAAAAAUGACUCUGCACUCUGGACUGGAGGAAAGCUGAUGUGAACCAGCCCAGCCGAUGUGCUUGCUCCCUGUCUCUUCAGCUGGGUCAUCUAACUGGAUGCCUCUGAUGCAUGUCCCAUCGCCGGAAUCCCUCCCUGCCUUUGACUAACAUUCCAGCCUUCCUAGGCCCUGGCAACAUCCUUGUUUCAGCAGGAAGUAGUUACAGAAGAGAGUUCGUCGCCCCUUUUCCCCAGCUGGCUGGAAUGUUAGAUCAGAAGGACAUUCACUGGCGUGGGGGACAAAAUGGCUACCUAGACUGCCUAUUGGCAUCCUAGGAAAGGUACCUGUUGAACUCAGAGACUCAGAUCUAUCAACAGGUAGAUUCAUUAGCUGAAAUAGUUCUACAGAGUGACGGGGCAUGGGAUCUGUUUUAUGCAGCAGAUGGAGGUGUUGUGUGACUUUAAGAGAAAACUAUUGUUUGUAUACAAAGCACUCAGGGAUCAUCAGAGGUAAUCUGAGGACCCGCAAUGAAGCAAAUGGCUGUUUCCCAGUCUCAUGCUCCUUCUAGUUAGCAACUCGCUCGGCCAUCUCAGGGUCUUUGACCCUGUAUUUCUGCUGAUUACUAUUGGCUCUGGCUCAUCAAUUAAUGCCUUAACUGGAUAAUAAUUUCUGCCUGGGUACCAUUAAGCUGGUGGUUAUUGGAUUCUGAUGUAAACAGGUACCCAUCACAGAGUCAGGGAUUCGACUCAGGAUACAACUCAAGGGGAGAAUGUGAGAGAUAGUUAUACUUAAAAUUUUAAUUAUGGUGCCUUAAGAGACCCACUAAACAAAAAUGCCUCUAUUGUAGACCACCUUCCUGAAAGGCCGGGGGCUGCCAUCUAUGGGAGAUAGCAAGCCACAUGUUCCACACUCCCUAAACAUCUUUGUUUGACACACCACACUGGAUGUGCUUGAUCACAUGUAGUGGGGAGGCACGUGGGCAGGAAAUACAUCAGGACAUAUGUUUGGACCUGAUGGGAAAUGCGGUGGCUUUAUGGGUUUGCCUUUUUAAGCCUAAAUGUGAUGACUUAUUGCCAGUCUCUGGAAACCCGG
rnacentral:lncRNA from 1 species